UUGGACCCAGUGCUGAGAGUGUACUUGGACCCAGCAUGAGAGGGUACUUGAUGGUAUUCUUUGGGGUUUUCAGCACUUGGCACUUUGUAGCAGCCUAUCUAUGAAAAUGUGUCACCCUUCACAGAGAAAAGUUACUACUAAGCAAGCUUUGUAUUGACAUAGUUUAAAUUCCCCCCAAACGUGGGUUUUAAAUGGCUUAGGGUAUGAGAUUUUAUAUUGCAAAGGGACAAGCCAGG